ACAAUUAGUUGGAGCUUUCUUUGGUCAACAGCAGAUGUGACUAAGAAAAUCACGCUGUUUCACUUAGAGCAGUGGUCACCAAGUGUGGUCCUUAGGCCACACAGGUCAGCAUCACCUAGGAACUAGGAAAUGCAAGUUCUUAAGCAAUCCCACCCAGACCUACUGAAUUGGAAGUGCUGAGGAUGGGGUCCAGCAAUCUGUGGUUGAACAAGCUCUGCAGAGCUUUGCAGAACAGAUCACCAUAACAACCACCAUCCUGGGAGACAGCAAAAGAACAGAGAGAAACAUCCUUUUUAUUUGCCUGAAAAUCAAGGGACAGCAGGGAAACGGGUCUUUUCAUCAAAGCUUGUUUUGGUGUCUCCCAAGUUGGAGGGUCCAUGUGCCAAGGGACGGCAGUGGAAGAAGUCAACAUGUUUAACAGACUACACCCAAUAUGUGUGAUUUUUAGGGAUCAGGCAUCCAGGAGCAGAGCUGUGGGGCAGCAGAAUCUGUGAUGACAGAGAA
rnacentral:lncRNA from 1 species